rnacentral:rRNA from 2 species
CAUGCAGUCGAACGAACUCUGGUAUUGAUUGGUGCUUGCAUCAUGAUUUACAUUUGAGUGAGUGGCGAACUGGUGAGUAACACGUGGGAAACCUGCCCAGAAGCGGGGGAUAACACCUGGAAACAGAUGCUAAUACCGCAUAACAACUUGGACCGCAUGGUCCGAGUUUGAAAGAUGCCUUCGGCUAUCACUUUUGGAUGGUCCCGCGGCGUAUUAGCUAGAUGGUGGGGUAACGGCUCACCAUGGCAAUGAUACGUAGCCGACCUGAGAGGGUAAUCGGCCACAUUGGGACUGAGACACGGCCCAAACUCCUACGGGAGGCAGCAGUAGGGAAUCUUCCACAAUGGACGAAAGUCUGAUGGAGCAACGCCGCGUGAGUGAAGAAGGGUUUCGGCUCGUAAAACUCUGUUGUUAAAGAAGAACAUAUCUGAGAGUAACUGUUCAGGUAUUGACGGUAUUUAACCAGAAAGCCACGGCUAACUACGUGCCAGCAGCCGCGGUAAUACGUAGGUGGCAAGCGUUGUCCGGAUUUAUUGGGCGUAAAGCGAGCGCAGGCGGUUUUUUAAGUCUGAUGUGAAAGCCUUCGGCUCAACCGAAGAAGUGCAUCGGAAACUGGGAAACUUGAGUGCAGAAGAGGACAGUGGAACUCCAUGUGUAGCGGUGAAAUGCGUAGAUAUAUGGGAAGAACACCAGUGGCGAAGGCGGCUGUCUGGUCUGUAACUGACGCUGAGGCUCGAAAGUAUGGGUAGCAAACAGGAUUAGAUACCCUGGUAGUCCAUACCGUAAACGAUGAAUGCUAAGUGUUGGAGGGUUUCCGCCCUUCAGUGCUGCAG